rnacentral:lncRNA from 1 species
AGAACACAGGACGUAAAGGCAGCUCACGAAGGGGUAAUGUGACGGUAAAGGAGCUGAAAGGGAUUCACGAGCCUGUCGUUACGGGGAGGGAGGACUUUCAGAUCCGACUUCGGACGCUCCCUAAUUUUUAAAAUUCCCUUAAAAAAGAAUCGUUGGAUUGUCAUUUGGAUGACAGCCAAUGGGCAUGUGAUGUCAGUGUAGAAAAUAUAAGCAUACGCUUGCGUCACAGGAGCCCGUCCGUGAGAGCUGUGUGUGUGCUUGUGUGCACCGGGCCGUGUUUAAAGGACGGACACCAAAACGAGGAGUAUCCUUACGGAAGCCGGCCUCCAGCUGGAAGCUCCAGGGCACGGGCUGCGAAGGCUGUGACCAGUGGGGGCCAGACAUCCCCCAUUCAGGCGUUGAAGGAGCCAACGAGGCUUCUGUGAUGAUACCACUGUGCCCGUGGGCCUGAGGCCAAGGAGUUCGGGACACAGUAAUUUCCUCGGAGAAAUUCAAGACUGAGUCAUCUCUGCAUUCAGUGAGAGCUAUGGCAGGGUCCCCUGGGACUGACCACUGAUCCCGGAGCCAUUGUUCCAUAAAGGAUCAUGGAAAACCUUUAUCUCUGGAAACCUAUUAAGAGUUGAGUUUGAAACAUUACCACGCAUACCAUACUACACCAUCACGAGGCUACACUACAUCUUUGAUGGCAUCCUGGUCAUUUCAGGGUCCCCAGGACCCACUGCAGUGCCUGACACACAGCCGGUGGCCUAGAAAUGUUUUUGCAUGAAUGCAUGAACAACACAAAGCGGGUUAUUUCUCAUUAUCUCCUUCCAAGGAAAGUGACAUCUGAGAAUAAUAUGACUUUGGCUGGCAGGACAGCAGUCAUGUGCUCAGUCCCACCACGCAUUAGACCCUAGGAACGGAGAGGUGAAGUACCUUUAAAAUACAGCAUGUGUGGGGCACCUGGGUGGCUCAGUCGGUUAAGUGUCUGCCUUGGGCUCAGGUCUUGAUCAAUGAUCUUGGGGUCCUGGGAUCGAGCCCCAAGUCAGGCUCCCUGCUCAGCGGCGAGUCCGCUUCCCCCUCAGCCUCUCCCCUGACCCUGCUCAUUCUCUC